UAAGGAAUAUUGGACAAUGGUCGCAAGACUGAUCCAGCCAUGCCGCGUGUAGGAAGACGGCCCUAUGGGUUGUAAACUGCUUUUGUACCAGAGAAAACCUAUCUACGUGUAGAUAGCUGACAGUAUGGUAAGAAUAAGCAUCGGCUAACUUCGUGCCAGCAGCCGCGGUAAGACGAAGGAUGCAAGCGUUAUCCGGAUUCAUUGGGUUUAAAGGGUGCGUAGGCGGGCUCGUAAGUCAGUGGUGAAAUCUCUCAGCUUAACUGAGAAACUGCCAUUGAUACUGCAGGCCUAGAGUAUAGAUGACGUUGGCGGAAUAUGACAUGUAGUGGUGAAAUACUUAGAUAUGUCAUAGAACACCGAUUGCGAAGGCAGCUAACGAAACUAUAACUGACGCUGAGGCACGAAAGUGCGGGGAUCAAACA
rnacentral:rRNA from 1 species